rnacentral:rRNA from 1 species
GAUCCUGCCAGUAGUCAUAUGCUUGUCUCAAAGAUUAAGCCAUGCAUGUCUAAGUAUAAACUGAUUUUAUACGGUGAAACUGCGAAUGGCUCAUUAAAUCAGUUAUAGUUUAUCCGAUUGUGCCGUUGUGAAUCGGAUUACCGUCCGGUUCGCUCCUACUUGGAUAACCGUGGUAAUUCUAGGGCUAAUACAUGCAAAAAAGGCCGACUGGAGGGGGAAAGGGUAAGGGGGUAUGGGCUUGCUCGUGCCUACCGCCCCUCCCAUUCUUCGGAAGGCCUGCAUUUAUUGGAACUAAAAACCAAUGCGGGGCCCCGUGCAGUUCGGCGUCAAAAACCGGACGGCGGGGACAAAACCCCGGCUAUACGCAUCGGUGAUUCACAAUAACUGCGCGAAUCGCAUGGCCUUCUUAGCGCCGGCGAUGGAUCGGACGAAUUUCUGCCCUAUCAACUAGACGGUAGGGUAGUGGCCUACCAUGGUUAUAACGGGUAACGGAGAAUUAGGGUUCGAUUCCGGAGAGGGAGCCUGAGAAACGGCUACCACUUCCAAGGAAGGCAGCAGGCGCGUAAAUUACCCAAUCCCGACACGGGGAGGUAGUGACAAGAAAUAACAAUGCAGGCCCUGAACAAGGGCUUGCAAUUGGAAUGAGUGCAAUUUAAAUCCUUCAACAAGGAACAAUUGGAGGGCAAGUCUGGUGCCAGCAGCCGCGGUAAUUCCAGCUCCAAUAGCGUAUAUUAAAGUUGUUGCAGUUAAAAAGCUCGUAGUUACCUUGGAAUUUGUUCCGAGGUGCUCGACCGGACACUCGCCUCGGGCUCUUUACUGAGCCCGUGGUAUUCUCCCUCCGGGUUGACGCUUGUGCGUUGUUCUUCGGAACAAUGUACAACUCUCCCGGGCAUGGGGUUUCGUUCUGCCCUCCUCCCCGCCCGCAGCCUCCCUGUCCUCUUCGGGGGACUUGGGGUGUGCUGCGGGAUCGGGGGGCGGAGGGACCAGAGCGGAGUUCCGGUCCGUUUACCUUGAAUAAAUUAGAGUGUUCAAAGCAGGCUUUUUUCGAAAGGCCAUGAAUACAUUAGCAUGGGAUAAUGGAAUAGGACUUUGGUCACUAUUUUGUUGGUUUUUUCUGUCUUAAGGACCGAAGUAAUGAUUAAUAGGGACAGUCGGGGGCAUUUGUAUUUAGUUGUCAGAGGUGAAAUUCUUGGAUCAACUAAAGACAAACUUCAGCGAAAGCAUUUGUCAAGGAUGUUUUCAUUAAUCAAGAACGAAAGUUAGGGGAUCGAAGAUGAUCAGAUACCGUCGUAGUCC